GGUGAAUCUGAAUAACUGUGCAGAUCGCAGGUCUUUGUACCGGCGACACAUUGCAAGAGUGAGUGCCUUAUCAACUGUCGAUGGUAGUAUAUAUGCCUACCAUGGUUAUUACGGGUAACGGAGAAUUAGGGUUUGACUCCGGAGAGGCAGCCUGAGAGACGGCUACCAGUUCUAAGGAACGCAGCAGGCGCGCAAAUUACACAAUGACAGUAAACUGUUGAUGUAGUGACAAGAGGUAACGGGGCGGUCCUCUAUGAGGCCCGUCAUUGUAUUGAGUAAAACUCAAAAUAUUUAACGAAACCAAUUGGAGGGCAAGUCUGGUGCCAGCAGCCGCGGUAAUUCCAGCUCCAAAAGCAUAUAUUAAAGUUGUUGCGGUUAAAAAGCUCCGAGUCCUAUCUGUCAGUUUGUCUGUGUUGCCUUUAAUCGGGUGGCACAGGUGACUGACGUGUUUACUUUGAAAAAAUUAGAGUGUUUAAAGCAGGCGUUGAAUGCCUGAAUAGUGGUGCAUGGAAUAAUGGAAUAGGAUCUCGGUUCUAUUUUGUUGGUUCAAGAGCAUGAGAAAAUGAUUAAGAGGGACAGACGGGGGCAUUUGUAUUGCUGCGUUAGAGGUGAAAUUCUUGGAUCGUAGCAAGACAAACUACUGCGAAGGCAUUUGCCAAGAAUGUUUUCAUUAAUCAAGAACGAAAGUUAGAGGUUCGAAGGCGAUCAGAUACCGCCCUAGUUCUAACCGUAAACCAUGUCGACUAGCUAUCUGUCAGCGUUAAUAAUGACCUGACAGGCAGCUUACCGGAAACGAAAGUUUCUCGAUUCCGGGGGUAGUAUGGUUGCAAAGCUGAAACUUAAAGGAAUUGACGGAAGGGCACCACCAGGAGUGGAGCCUGCGGCUUAAUUUGACCCAACACGGGAAAACUCACCCGGCCCGGACACCGUAAGGAUUGACAGAUUAAUAGCUCUUUCUCGAUUUGGUGAUUGGUGGUGCAUGGCCGUUCUUAGUUGGUGGAGCGAUUUGUCUGGUUAAUUCCGAUAACGAACGAGAUUCUAACUUACUAACUAGUUCCACGAUCCUUGUGGUCCUAAAUACUUCUUAGAGGGAAAACCGGCAUUUAGUCGAACGAGAUUGAGCAAUAACAGGUCUGUGAUGCCCUUAGAUGUCCGGGGCUGCACGCGUGCUACACUGAAGGAAUCAGCGUGUUUUUCCCUUGCCUGUAAUGGCUGGGUAACCGACUGAAUCUCCUUCGUGCUAGGGAUAGAUCAUUGAAACUAGUGAUCUUCAACUUGGAAUUCCUGGUACGUUUGAGUCAUAAGCUCAAGCAGAUUACGUCCCUGCCCUUUGUACACACCGCCCGUCGCUACUACCGACUGGCAAUAUCUUUGAGACACUUGGAGCGGCCGUGAGCUACCCUAACCGGUAACUCACGGCUGCGAAAAGGUUCGAAAAGGUUUUGCUGGAGGAAGUAAAAGUCGUAACAAGGUU
rnacentral:rRNA from 1 species